rnacentral:rRNA from 1 species
AUUGAACGCUGGCGGCAUGCUUUACACAUGCAAGUCGAACGGCAGCGCGGGCUUCGGCCUGGCGGCGAGUGGCGAACGGGCGAGUAAUGCAUCGGUACGUGCCCAGUAGUUGGGGAUAGCCCGGCGACAGCCGGAUUAAUACCGCAUACGACCAGAGGGUGAAAGCGGGGGACCGAAAGGCCUCGCGCUAUUGGAGCGGCCGAUGUCGGGUUAGCUAGUUGGUGGGGUAAAGGCUUACCAAGGCGACGAUCCGUAGCUGGUCUGAGAGGACGACCAGCCACACUGGGACUGAGACACGGCCCAGACUCCUACGGGAGGCAGCAGUGGGGAAUUUUGGACAAUGGGGGCAACCCUGAUCCAGCCAUGCCGCGUGCGGGAAGAAGGCCUUCGGGUUGUAAACCGCUUUUGUUCGGGAAGAAAACCUCUGGGCUAAUACCCCGGGGGGAUGACGGUACCGGAAGAAUAAGCACCGGCUAACUACGUG